GAAAAUCCCAAGAGAAAGAAAAAUAAAAUGCCCCCAAAAUGGGCUCAGCAAAAUGUGAAAUCGAAUCUCACAGGAAAAAGAAGAGAUCCAGCAGCAUUUUAAAUGCAGAGCAGAAGCCAUGGCUCCAGGAGGAAACAUCCAAGCUCUCACCACCCUGGAUGCGAUCUCCUCUGCAGCUGCCUGGCAGCCUAGAGCAGCCCCUCUGAGCAGAUAAGUCCUGGUUUGCACCUGUGUCUCCAAAGCCCUCUGGGACAAGGGAGCAGAAUGUGUCACUGCAGCUGGGCAGGACCAGGUCCAGAAUGCCUCUGAAGGGGCACAGGGCAAUGUCCAGCGGCCACCGAGCAGCUCCUCUGUCCUGCCCUUCCCUGCAGAGAGAUCUGCCCAGGCCAGCCUUGGAGAAUCCUUGUCUCUGGAGUUCCUAAUGCUCCUUUCCCUCAUGCUUGGCUUGGCUCUACAUGGUCUCCUCAUCAGAGGCACGCCACAGAUCGUGUGCUCCCAAUCUCCUUCUCCCAAAAAGCGCGGUGGCGAGUGACCUUUCUGAAGAGCUUCCCCCUUGCAGGCCAGGCUGGGCUGUUGCACUGCAGAGACAUUAAACCAAGGAAAAGCUGA